UCCCAUGGAGUGGGUGGGGGUCCCAAGGUGUGGGUGGGGGUCCUGCAGUAUGUGGGGGUCCUGUGGCGUGGGUGGGGGUCCCAUCGUGUGAGUGGGGGUCCUACAGUAUGGUGGGGGUCCCGUGGAGUGGGUGGGGGUCCCAGGGCGUGGGGAUCCCACGGUGCAGAUGGGGGUCUCAUAGUGUGGGUGGGGGUCCCGCAGUACUGUGGGGUGCCGUGGGGUGGGUGGGGGUCCCGCAGCGCCCCCUGGUGUCCGACACGCGGCGCUGCCUGCAGCACGAGCGCCCUCUGGUGGGCGCAGCCCCGAGCCGGGCGGACGCGCGUUGUGUGCGGCCCUACCGGGAGGGGGGAGCAGCCGAGCUCAGCUGUGUGGUGGGGAGGGACACGGAGGGAUCCUCGUGGAAGAGGAGCGAGAUGAGGAGGCGACGGGAGGCAGCCAGCACGGCGUCACCGCGGGCACAGCGCGCCUGAGCCGCCCGCGAUGGAGCGCCGGCAUCGCUGCACAACGGGAGGGCGGCUGCUGUGGCUGCCUGCAGUUGUGCGAGGCCUCUGGCACGGCCCUGCACCGCGUCCCGAUCUCUGCGUUGGAGAGAGAUGGGUUCCGAGCUGGAUGAAGGCUUGGCUGGAUGGCCGCAGCCACAGGGCUGUGCUCAGUGGCUCCAUGUGCAGGUGGAGGCGGUGACGAGCGCUGUCCCCCAGGGCUCCAUCUUAGGAGCGGUGCUCUUCAAUCCCUUUCUCAGUGACACAGAGGAUGGGAUCAGUGCACCUCAGCAGCUGCAGAGGACACCGAGCUGAGCGGUGCGGCUGCUCCGAGCGGAGGAAGGGCUGCCGUCCAGAGGCCGCCGGUCGGUCACGCAGCGCCGAGGGGCGCUCAGUACGGCACGUGGAGGCCGUGCAGGCGGUGCAGGCGCUCCCAUAACGCCCGAAAGGAUCUGGGUGAAGGAUCCGGGGCGGUGUCGGCCUCUGCUCCCCGUAACGGCGGAGCGAUGACGCGGCCGGCCCGGAGCCGCCCCGAGGCGCCGCGAUCCCCUCAGAGAG
ensembl:lncRNA